AAACGUUGCCAGGGAAGAAAGCUCAGAACUCAAAAAAAUUAUAAGGGCUAACAUCUGGGGUGUUUUAAGUAUCCAAUAUACAGAUAUUCUUGAAACUAAUGAAUGUUAAAAAGUAAUGGACGAAGAGAGAGUCGGCUCCAGCUAAAAGCUUACUUUAUCUUCGAAUCUAAGAGAAAUUUGAAUAGAACAUCAAUGGCAAUGACUCGUACUUGCAUUCGCAUCAGAAAAAAAUACAAAAAU
rnacentral:lncRNA from 1 species